UACGUAGGGCGCAAGCGUUGUCCGGAAUUAUUGGGCGUAAAGAGCUCGUAGGCGGCUUGUCACGUCGAUUGUGAAAGCCCGAGGCUUAACCUCGGGUCUGCAGUCGAUACGGGCUAGCUAGAGUGUGGUAGGGGGAGAUCGGAAUUCCUGGUGUAGCGGUGAAAAUGCGCAGAUAUCAGGAGGAACACCGGUGGCGAAGGCGGAUCUCUGGGCCAUUCUUGACGCUGAGGCGCGAAAGCUAGGGGGAGCAAACGGG
rnacentral:rRNA from 1 species